rnacentral:rRNA from 1 species
UACGUAGGGGGCAAGCGUUGUCCGGAAUCAUUGGGCGUAAAGAGCUCGUAGGCGGCUUGUUGCGUCGACUGUGAAAACCCGCGGCUUAACCGCGGGCUUGCAGUUGAUACGGGCAGGCUAGAGUUCGGUAGGGGAGACUGGAAUUCCUGGUGUAGCGGUGAAAUGCGCAGAUAUCAGGAGGAACACCGGUGGCGAAGGCGGGUCUCUGGGCCGAUACUGACGCUGAGGAGCGAAAGCGUGGGGAGCGAACAGG